GCAGUAUCCGGACUGUGCGAAGGUAGCAUAAUAAUUUGUCUUAUAAUUGAAGAAUAGUAUGAAAGGUAUAACAAAGGUGUUGCUGUCUAUUUAUAUUUAUUAAAAGUUGAUUUUUAGGUUAAAAGGCCUAAAUAAAAUUAAAGGACGAGAAGACCCUAUUGAGCUUUAAAAUGAUAAAUUAUAUUGUGGUAUUAAAAAAAUAAAGAUAAAAAUAUUUAAAUUUUAGUUGGGGCGACUUAAAAAUAAACAAAACUUUUUAUUAAUUAAAGAAUUGUUAGAUUAUGAUCCAAAUUGUUUUGAAUUAAGAGUAAGCUACCAUAGGGAUAACAGCGUAAUUUUUUUGGAGAGCUCUAAUUGAAGAAAAAGUUUGCGACCUCGAUGUUGGAUUAAGAAGUAGUAAAGGUUGUAGGAGCUUUUAUAAGUAGUCUGUUCGACUAUUAAUAUCUUACAUGAUCUGAGUUCAAACCGGA
rnacentral:rRNA from 1 species